rnacentral:rRNA from 1 species
GUAACGAGCGCAACCCUUGUCCUUAGUUACCAGCACGUUAUGGUGGGCACUCUAAGGAGACUGCCGGUGCAAACCGGAGGAAGGUGGGGAUGACGGUCAAGUCAUCAUGGCCCUUACGGCCUGGGCUACACACGUGCUACAAUGGUCGGUACAAAGGGUUGCCAAGCCGCGAGGUGGAGCUAAUCCCAUAAAACCGAUCGUAGUCCGGAUCGCAGUCUGCAACUCGACUGCGUGAAGUCGGAAUCGCUAGUAAUCGUGAAUCAGAAUGUCACGGUGAAUACGUUCCCGGGCCUU